rnacentral:lncRNA from 1 species
CUCAAUCCAGAAUGCUCUUUAGAUUCGUCAUUGCCUGGAUAAACUCUGCUCAUCUUUAAGACUCAGCUCAGGAUUCAUCUGCUCCUCCAGGCAGCCUUCCUUCAACCCCCAGGCUGCAAGACACGCGCCCCUCUGUGUUGCCAGAGCACCGUGUUUUAAUCUCCAUUGUGUCACCUUAGACCAGUGCUGUCCAAUAGAAAUAUAACAGGAGCCAGUGAAGCACAUAUGCAGAUCCGGAGACUAGAAUACUCUAACAGCUAUACUGAGACCUAAAGAGAAAAGACCAGGUGAGGAAACAAUGAGAAGACAGUGUCCUGUCCAUAUGACAGCACCCACAUACAAGCAGUA